CCUCUGGGCUUUUUUCCUUUGACAGAAAAGCCAUCUCCCCACAACUCAGCCCGUCAAAAAUCCUACCCAUCCAUCAACACCCAGUACCAAUAUCACCUCCUCCUUGAGGCCUUCCUUGAUUUCCUGGGGACUCUUUCCUCCUCCAGGCUUCCUCACCUCGUGCUGGUAACUGCUGAUGAUUUCCAUCCCAGUGGAUCCUACAACCUAGCCCAACCCCAGCACCUCACACCAUGCUGAGCAGACAGCUGUAGGAAGCCCCUGAAGAUUCUCUAGCCAGCUUACAGAAACAGGCUACGAUCACCUGAGAGUUGCUUUUAUUUUAUUUUAUUUAGAUGAGGUCUUGCACUGUUGCCCAGGCUGGAGUGCAGAGGCGGGAUUAUGGUUCACUACAGACUUGAACUCCUGGGUUCAAGCGAUCCUUCCAUCUCAGCCAGCCUCCCCAGUAGCUGGGACCACAGGUGCACCACCACGCCUGGCUAAUUUUUGUGUUUUUUGUAGAGACGGGGUUUUGCCAUGUUGCCCAGGUGGGUUUCAAACUUCUGGGCUCAAGAGAUCCACCUGCUUCAGCCUUCCAAAAUGCCGGAAAUACAGGUGUGAGCAACCAUGCC
rnacentral:lncRNA from 10 species